AAUGAUGCAAAUUUAUGAUGGCCACACAUAAUAGUUGCAGCAAGGAUGUUUGCUGCUUGUUGGCCGCACAUGUUUUAGCUGCACCCAAGAUUAAAUGUAGUUGUUGUAAUAAGAGGUAUUUGUUGUUUUUCUGGGUAUUUUAAGGGGUAAUUGUAAAAAUAGGAACGUUUUUAAUAGGAACAUAUUUUUGAUGGUUUCAAAUGAUUUUUCUCCUUGUUUGCCUUUAUUAUCCUGUAGGGAUCAGACACUGUGUUUCCUUUCUAUUUAUCGUUAUGCCUUACUUUCUGUGUAUCUUUUGUUCCGGAACUUUUUUCAAAUUUUGUAUUUCGAGUGUUUCAGGUCUAAUGAUCGGGGUAAAGUCACAUGUCCAUGCUGAUUGUUCCAAACUGCCUUCAUCUUUGAAUGUUAGAGACGUGGAAAUGUGUUUUUUUUUUUUUUGCUGAGGAACAGCAAAGGGGAGCUACGUCAGUAAAUAACAGUUAUUAGUUUUUUUGUGAGAGUUAUUGCCAAUCUCUUACUGUAUCUCUGUUUUUAGUGAUUUUGCAAACAUAGAAAUGUAAGUGCGUUAACUGGUCAGAAAAGAUCUUCUGCAGAUCUAUCAUCACCGUCAUGGAAAGCUAGCAUUAGCAUCAGCGUGAAUGAAGACAAAAAUCUGAAUUACCUUCAUAAUCAAAGGAUUUUGGGGAAGCAGCUCCAGGAGGAAUACUAACAUUUGAUCUAAGAAGGAAAACAAUACAACCAGCCAAGAAGACAACAAUCAUAUGAAAGGUGCAUUUUGGACUCAUCCGAAGAUUAACAGGCGAUUCAUUUUUACCCUUUUAAUUGUAUCUGGGUACAUUUUGGGGUGGAAAUCCAACCAGGUCCUUGCUUGACCUCUGCAAUUCCAUGUGAUUUGCCUCUUUCAAUUUUGGGGAUUGUAAGGUUUACUUCCUUACCACCACUUUUCCCUUUAUGUUCAAUUAGUUUGGAAUUGUGUAUGAAUUGUCAGUUUGAAUUAUUUCCUGAUUUGCUAAAUGUUGGUCUGUGGAUUCAUGACCUCCAGCUGGUGAGACGACCGUCUGCGCGCCACAUUGUGGAUUCAUCAGAAGAUGAACAGGUACUUUAGUUGCAACUUCAUAAGAAUUCUUUAUAAUUUUACUCUGCUCAUUGUUUCAGACUUUCAAACUUACAGAGAUACAGACACAAAAGGCCCUGCUGGAACCUACAUAGAAACUAAUUUACAAGACAUCGUUUGGCAUUGCAGCCAAGCUAUGACCGAUUGUCCAUGAACGGGGCACUUAAUGAGGGAUACCCCUGUUACAAAAGAGGGAGCGGUCAGAGAAAAAGGUUUAACUGACUCUAACACACGAUGUGCCAUUCAUUGCCACUUUGCACAUUUUUCCUUGAUCAACUUGCAGUUUAGUUCGUUUGUCCACAAGAAUUGCCUUCCAACAAUCACCUAUUAAAGUAGCGCACCCCUCACAACAAGGUCUAGUGUUUUCAUCUUUACAGUUUUUGUUAUUUCUUGGACAACAACAAUGUAUACAUGCAAACAUAUUAGAUAUUUAUGGAUUCUGGCUCUUUUCACACAGUGUCUGCUACCUUCAAGGGAUUGUAGCAGGAUGAAAUGGGCUGCACCUGCUACACAGGUAUUGGCAACUCUUUUGAUUGCCCAAAGGGUGUGGUGCAGCUUAUAAAAAGCAGAGUUCCUGUGUGCCCGAGGGUGCACUCUAAAGAGGGGACGCUACACUGUGCUACAAGUUCCAGGCCCAGUCAGUGGGGCACCUGAAACCUGGGGUAUGGACCUGUGGGCAGUAGCGGUUUUAGGCACGGGCAAUACGAGCAGCUGCCCGGGGAGUAAUUGUGGAACUGCCACUGAUUCCAGGGUCCUGGAGAGGAGAGUCUGUCCAAUAGUC